CUAGUUAAAUGGGAUAAUGUAAAUUUAUGGACCAGAUAAAUCCUUUCCCGAGUUAAAAUAUCUUCGUAAAGCAGUCGAGGUUAGCGUACUGUUAUUUGUUAUUAAAAGUAAAGCCCUCGCUAAAAUAUCAUGCGGUACAUUGUCAUGGAGAGGCAUACCUAGUUAGCACAGAAGCGACAUGCUUGUGCCGUCUAUAAAUUUUUUCGAAAAAUUCUACCCAUACUUAACCCACACUCUUUUAAAAAAAUUAUGCAAAACAUGCAAGUAAACAAAGGUAACUGACUGGUAAUCAAAUAGAUGACCUUUACAGUAGUAAGCAUCUCAGACACACGAUUACGUAUGUUCGACUUACACACCACAAAAACAGAAAUUCGAUGGAAAAAGAAACACCUCUGGCAUACAAGGUACAGCUUCAUAACAAACUGUGUGACAGAAAUUUCUUGCGGAAUCAUGGUCUGCAUUGGACAUCAAAUGAUCUGAAUAGCAACAAAAAUCUGAGUACUACCGACUGCGUAUAUUCACGAGUACACGGGCUCGGUGACAGCAACAUCGGUGCCGCUUCGUCCCCAAGCUGUUUCGUAGCUGGCGUAUUCACUUGCCAGUUCAGUUUCUAUCACCUUUCGUUUUCUCUUUCUCCAGGGUUGUCGUCUAAGUAGAGUUGAGACUGCCUUCGAGCCACAAUCGGCCACGGCAACACGGUCAGCGACUCACUGGCGAAGCUAAGUUCUUCAUGACGUUAUGGUUAAAGCAGUAACUAAUACACAGAUGCCUCUGAAGUCGCAAGCCGCAAUAAUUGACGAAGUUUAGUGCAAAGUGGAAGUUUGCGCGCUGCAUAAUCAGCAGUCAGCGUUCCUUCCUGUUUUUCAUCCAUCUGCUAAUUAAACACGAGAAGGAGGCAGCGUAAAAGCCGAGAUUUGCCGUUUAUCGGUUACGUUAUAUGGAUGCGCCACAGCUAAGAGCGACGACUAUUUCUAGGCCACCGCAGUAAACGGUGAGUGAGCGUUCGUUUGUCCGCGGGCAUUCAGUUCUGUAAGUGAACUUUGCUAACAGUCGCAAUUGCUAUGAUACACUAGAACGCAUUAUAUAGCUGCAAAAAUAACUAUAAAAAUAAGCGCCAUGCUGAUCGAUAAAAUUAGAGCAUUUUGUUAAAAAAUAAGUUUACAUAUAAGUCGCUGAAGUAAGAUAUGCUUUCUAUUCACAAAAGAAUAUCGCCUCAAUUUACAAAUCUGCAUAGUAUGAGUUUUAUUUCCGCUGAUUCGUGUCAUCUUCAAGGAAUUCACAGCCGAUCUAUAAUUACGUUAUCUGUUGAUGCAAAUGAGUGCUGUUGACGAUUACUAAAAAAAGCCCCCGUAAGCCCAUAAUGUAUUAGCGUAGAGUUGUCCCCAAAAGAAAAAUCUUAGACCUACUAUAGCUAGUUAUGAUGGUCGUAUUACUCAAAGAUGGAUCAUACUAAAUUUGAGCUUCAGAAUUGCUUCUUAUGUUUUACAACAGUACUACAUUAGUAGAUUUUAAUCGAUUUUAAUCGAAGUGCAUCAAUGGUAUAAAAAAUGGAAUAACGAGCAUUCUAAAAUUUGUAACAUUAUAGACGUACUCCAAACCGUCCAGUUUCCAAUUUAAUUUUACAACGAUCGCUUGAAGCGUACAUGAUAAAAACAAAAAAAAAACUUUUAGGAAUGCGGCAAGUCCAACGAUAAUAAAGGCCUUCUUUCUUUUGUUCCUUGAGUGAAAACGUUGCUGAAUUAGGCCCAUCUGACUGCAGGGCUAAGGUUACGGCCGCCAGCGUCGCAGUAUUUAUUUAUUUGAUCGUACGAUACCCAAGUGCAGAAUGGGUGGGCUCCGUGUUUCAUGCCAUUGUAGUUCGGAAGCGGAAUCCUACGUAACGCAAAUCAGACGCGAAGGUUGGCUAAAGUCACGGGAUGAAGUAUAAAUAAAGGAAAGACUGAAUAAAAUGAGGUCCAGUAAUUCAACUGCCAAGAUUCCCGAUGUUGUUGAAAACUAUCAAACGCCAGGAAAAGUGCGUAAUCAACGAUGCAAACAUGCUGCGUCACAACAAGACGUCGGGUAAAAGGACUCUCGGUCCGGCUUCGUCAACGAAAUUCAUUGCGGUAUAGCAGCACGACAAUCAUCAUAGUUCGAGCGGAAAAAUACUAAUUGUUUACUGGUUCCGCUGGCAUGUCGGCGGUUGAUGAUCAUGCAACUGCUGCACGCGUAUUUAUUGGUGGUUGUCGUUCGCCCGUGAAACAGAACGGGUUGACUCAAUGGAUGAGCGACCUUUCCGAUAGAUGCCGCCACUCAAGCUUGACGUCGAGUUCCGUCGCAGCUCCUUCAACAGCAUCAGUCUAUCAUUGGCUUGCGCAGUACCCGGCAUCGCCUAUGACCGUCUGGAUAUUCUGUCCUGUGCUCCGAGGUGCCUUUUGUGACGAUGACUAACUUUAUGAAUGACAAUAUGGAAGCAACUGCGGUUCCAGCAGCAACUAGAGCUACUUUUGCUGUCAUUGCGAGUGUUACGCGCGCAGAAACAUGGCCAGGGGAAAAGCGGAUUCAGCAGUUAAAAACCAAUGAAAUGGCAUAGCUAUUUUACGCACGGAGCGAAAAAUUGUCAAAAAUACCAUAUUUACCUUGGUAGUAAAAACUUCACAAUCGUACAUAAUGGGUAACACAGGAAUUAUGCUUAGGAGUAUGCUUGUUUACUGAUUUCUGACCCGAAAACUGUGGGCAAAUAAUAAUAAUAAUAAUAAUAAUCUUUAUUAUUAUCUGUGCACGUCUGUGCGCAUAAUUUGCCUAUCUCACUCUCUGCAUCUGGAAUAAUAAUCCACAGUUUAACUAGAUUUCAACAGGUUAUCGCAAGCCCUAUCGAAGUUAUUGUAGACUACUUCAGUAGUAACCGCCAUUUAGCUGAAUCAGUUCUGCAGGAAACUUGAUACAGCGGACAUGUAUGUGGUGUAAAAUAACUGGCUUUCAAAUAUUUAUAUACUGGCCUGCAUCAAUCGCUGGCCAGUACAUAACUAUGUACAAUGUAUGUCGUACAAUGCUGAACUGCCAUUGUCUAAAGCUGAACGUAUUGACCAAUAUUAAAAUCAAUCCCACACUGUACCAGCCGCUGACAACAUCUAGUUCAACAAGACAUAUGUUUUUGUUUAACGCAACUUAAAAACAGUGGGGAAGCAUGCCUGUCGUAAUUAGAUCGCAUAAUCUUCUGCGCCUGCACACAUUUGGAAAAUCUACUAUUGCACAGAGCUAUAGAAUCAUAUUGCGGCUAUCGCUAGAAUCGAUGUAAGAGAGGAGAUGUAGCUCCGGCGACUCUGAUGCAUGUUGAGAUCUUGCAGUAGCAUACAUAAUAAUUUUACAGAAUGUUUUCUACUGCUACGCCUCUAUUACUGGUAAUCACACAAAAGAAACUGAAAAAAGGAAGUUGAGGUCUAAUUUGUUUGUUGUUUCAUCAACUGAAUAGUGAACGUCCUUCCGUAUAUUCUUGCAUAUCGACACCUGAUUAAGAAUGCCCAAAAAUGUGAUAUUAUUCUAGGGAAUUUUAGAAAGGUAGAUUUUUACACAGAAGUGAUUAUAUGUUUCAAAAAAAUACUGAAUUAGCUAUUUUAAGAAAUAGAUUCACUAGUUACAAAAAUAAGUAGACAAUACCGCUGGGGCAUUUUCUUAGUCAAGGUCUCAAAGGAAAAUUAGCUGUAACAGUAAAAUAAAUUAAAUUAUUGUCACACGUAUACGACCAUCGUAAUACUGGAAAAUUAAGGGAGACUCACUUAAAAUGCCGUCGCUGAGUUCAGAUGUUCAUCAUCACGAUAUCGGUCGCGUUGUAACUGCCGAUGACCCUAACACGUGUCGUCGGUCGGUUUAUGUUAAGUGAUACGCAGCUGACCAAUGCAACUUGACUAGGCUGUCACAUUGGCUUCGACAUCGCGUAUAAUUGUUCACAGAGGCACACAUAAUUAACGAGGUAGCCAUGGAUAUAAAGGGUAGAAACAAUAUAUUUUUUUAUGCAAUUGAAACCGCUCCGCUGUAUAUAUGAGGCUAUUUACAUGCAGAGCAGAUGUACAACGGUACACAAAUAUAUUUGCUGUCAUCUUUAUGCCUAACGCUUGUUCAGGCGUUUGUCAUAUUGCCCGCUCCAAAAAAUAGCCCGUGUUAUAUAACGUAGUUGGAAACCAUUACGGGCGAUGGAGCAAGUCGAUGCACAAAAGCGAAAAUCACAUGGACGGAGUUAAUGUCAAAUUAGCAAAUCAGAAUAUGUCUAGCAAAUAAAAACUAUUAGACCUGUACAUAUGCGUUAAAUAUGGAGCUUCUAAACUUUUCCUAAUAAGCUGUGCAUGUUAGUUGUAAAACCCCGCAUCUACCAUAAUCCACCCCAAAUAAAAGCACUGGAUGCCUGGAACUAAAAGGACGACUAGUCUUGUGUCCAAGUUCAGUCGAAUGUAUUUUUAUUAUUCAAAAACGAUCAUUGUUGCAAUACAAUUUACACAUCAACAAUUAUAUACAAGUUUACAUUAUCUGUAAGUGUUACAAUUCUUGUUUUACUAUAAUAAUAUAUAUGUACAAAAUUGGGCGCAUCAUUUGCCAUCGUUUAAUGUGAUGCAAUUUUUCGCAAAUAAAUAAGGCCGAUUUUAAUUGACAAAAACUGUUUUUCAAUAAAACUGUCAGAGUUUUUGUUGUACAUGCUGAUUAUAUCCUUGCUUAAAGGAUACAGGGCUUCGGUAUACCAUUAAGCUCCAGAUUCAAAAAAAAACAACCUAGUUUUCAUUGAUAUACAUCUACGUUUCGAACCUAACAUACGGGUUAUCUGUUCAUUGAGCGAUCCACGAUACUUAAUGUGGCAGAAGGUUUUAUUUAUUCGUUAUCCCGCGAUGUCUAAGCGCUAUAUCGAGCACAUCGCAAUCAAAAUGACAAACUGGUUACCCAAACGAUUUACUGCGAAGGGAUAACAGACGAUUACAGAAGUGGCACUUAAGUUUAUCAAAAACAAUUAUCCGUUCAGACACAAUUCUCGAUUAGCUACUACGAUAUAAACAAGAAUAACUUCGAACAGUCGGUCGGUUUCGUAUUUCAACGAAUUUCAUGCUUCGACCUUCAAAUUUUCAUGCCAAAAACUGUUAUACAUACUAUAUUUGGUUCAGCACUUAGCUAAAAUCACACCAUUCACCCCAUAUAUCCUACUCAUUCUUCUUUCGACUUGCGCUCCAUGAUUGCAGUAAUAAAGGCGCCGCAUGACGCAUAGACGUAAAUGCACCUCCUGUUUGAGAAAGCGCAAUUCUGUCACAGAUUUUAACGAUUGUCAAUUUUCGUUCACUGGACACAUUCACUAAUAACGUUCAAAUUUACUAGUUAACUGCAUUCUUUGCAGUUUCUCUUUAGUCAAAUUCGAUGCUCAUACGGCGAGAGGUGUUCAAUAUUUAUAUACCCUGUGGAAACUCGUUUUACAGAAUAUAUUAACAAUGGAAGUUUUUGCAUGAAGAUUAUACAUUCGGGGGUGUUUGCAAUGAGCAGAAAGUAACUCCAUGAUGGCAUCGAUUCAAAGGUUAAACAAGGGUGGAUUGAAAUGAUCGAUUGCGGUCAGAUCGGUUUCAAAAGUAUACACGAUGGUAGCUCAAUAUAGGGACAGCACAAUUUUCGCACAUCGCAUCCCUUGUGCCCAAUUUCGUGUACGGAAACAGCAGAAGGCGCUAUCUUAAUUGGUCAUUUUCCUAAAUAUAGAUAAUUAAUUCGGCUCAAUUGGAGUAAUGGAAGUUGAUAUUUAAGACUAUCUACAAAGGUUUCCAGGCGUUAUUUAAAUACGCUUGCCUAUUAAAAC